UGCGAGUCAACACGUGGGGCGAACGUUCAGAUAACUCUCGUGUCUUUGUUGUGAAUGGAGGGAAAGACAACUUCCAGAGUUGACGCUGUCACUUGAAGAACUCCUCCUCCUCCAGUCUGUCUGUCUGCAGAGCUGCAGUCUGACUCCACACAGCAAAUUGUCACCUUUGUCUUUCAGAUUGAAAUGAAUGCAGUGCAAGAACUAUCUGUGAAGUAUAUCAGAGCGGCCUUCACCUUUUCCCAUUCCAGCCUGUUCCCAUGAUGUGGAAUUGAAGUUACGCAAAGGCAAUGAGGCAUAUGAAAAGACCAAGAAAGAUCAGGGAAGAGUUUCUUCGGAUCACCAACAAGGACCUAAUAGACAACUUCAGAGCAGCCAUUAAUCAGCACACCAAGGCUCCUUAAACUCUAUCGGGCUAGGUGGACAGCUUUCCCACCUGAGAUGGAUCAACUCCUUAACAGACUGGAUAAAG